rnacentral:rRNA from 1 species
AUCAAAAACAUUGUUACUGGAUAUAAUAUCAGUAAUAAUUCCUGCCCAGUGAAAUUCAUUCAACGGCCGCGGUAUCCUGACCGUGCAAAGGUAGCAUAAUAACUUGCCCAUUAAUUGUGGGCUAGAAUGAAUGGAAAAACGAAGUAAUAGCUGUCUCUAGUAGUUAAAUAAAAAAUAAUAUUUUAGUGAAGAAGCUAAAAUAAAUUCACAGGACAAGAAGACCCUAUAGAGCUUUAUUUAUAAUACGUGGCUAAAACGUAAAAAAAUUCAGUUGGGGCGACUAAGGAACAAUCAUCCUAAUUUUAUAAGAUAAACAUAUCAAUCAAAAGAUCCUAAAUAUAGAUCAUAGAAAUUAGCUACCUUAGGGAUAACAGGCUAAUUCUCCUGGAAAGUCCAAAUUUAUAGGAGAGUUUGGCACCUCGAUGUUGGCUUAGGAUUACUAUAAGAUGCAGCAGUCUUAAUAAGUAGGUUUGUUCAACCUUUAAUAUCCUACGUGAUCUGAGUUCAAA